UACAGAGGGGGCAAGCGUUAUUCGGAAUUAUUGGGCGUAAAGGGCGCGUAGGCGGCUUUGCAAGUGACGGGUGAAAUCCCACGGCUUAACCGUGGAACUGCCUGUCAGACUGCAUGGCUUGAGACCAGGAGAGGUGAGAGGUACUCCAGUGUACGGUGAAAUGCGUAGAUAUCAGGAGGAACACCGGUGGUGUAAACGGCUCUCUGGACCGUAACUGGACGCUGAAGACACGAAAGCGUGGGUAGCAAACAGG
rnacentral:rRNA from 1 species